rnacentral:ncRNA from 1 species
AUAGGUGGAUUAAGUGGUGUGGUCGAAAAAGGGAGCUGAGAAAUCUCUUAUGGCCAAUUUGUGGAAGUGAACCUUCUGCUAUAAACCAUCAAAUUGACGGGGAAGCCCUAAAGCAAUUUAAACCAAACAGACGUGGUAACACAGUUUGUGGCACAGGUAAUGACUCGUGGUAUGGUAAAAUAGAAAUUGAUUUGCGAAAGUGAAUGGGUAAUCCGCAGCCAAGCACCUUAGUGUUAAGGUGUGCAGUUCAUCGACUAAAUGUUGGUUGGCGUUUAAUUAUUACUUAUAUUAGCGCUUAAGAUAUAGUCAAACCCCGAGCGAGAGCUUGCA